rnacentral:rRNA from 1 species
CACGUAGGGUGCAAGCGUUGUCCGGAAUUAUUGGGCGUAAAGGGUGCGUAGGCGGUCUGUCGCGUCGAUCGUGAAAACUUGGGGCUUAACCCUGAGCUUGCGGUCGAUACGGGCAUGACUGGAGUUCGGCAGGGGAGACUGGAAUUCCUGGUGUAGCGGUGAAAUGCGCAGAUAUCAGGAGGAACACCGAUGGCGAAGGCAGGUCUCUGGGCCACUACUGACGCUGAGAAGCGAAAGCAUGGGGAGCGAACAGG